UACGGAGGGAGCUAGCGUUGUUCGGAAUUACUGGGCGUAAAGCGCACGUAGGCGGCUUUGUAAGUUAGAGGUGAAAGCCCGGGGCUCAACUCCGGAACUGCCUUUAAGACUGCAUCGCUUGAAUCCGGGAGAGGUGAGUGGAAUUCCGAGUGUAGCGGUGGAAUGCGCAGAUAUCAGGAAGAACACCAACGGCGAAGGCAGCUCGCUGGGACGGUACUGACGCUGAGACGCGAAAGCGUGGGGAGCGAACAGG
rnacentral:rRNA from 1 species